GGGGAGGAAGCUCAAGGCUGUCAGAUCCCCCUCCCCACCACGCAAGCUAUUCAAAUAUGAGGGCUCCCAAACGGACUCCUCUCUGCUGCCGAAGACGAAGAAGGCAACAAGGUAAAAAAAACACUCCUGCCAUGUACAUCGUGCACUUACAAAUCCAUCCGCCCGUCGGAUUUGAAGAAACGCAUAACGGGAGUGCACGGAUUAAAGUACCUGUUCAGCUGUGUUUCAUGCAUCUUCAAAACGCGAUGGAAGAACAAACUUGAAGCACAUAUCAGAAAGAAACAUGCCACGUAAACCUGUGAGUUUUUAUGUUUUUAUCAAAGUUCUACCUAGGUCAAUAUUUUAACACACAUACGUAACUUCAAUUCCCCACACGUAACUUCAAUUCCAAACUGCGUCCUGACAUCACCUGUGAACCAAAAAUGGACGACUGGAGCCGAAGGACCGAGGCCGGCAGUAGAUACAGACGCGUCCUGCUACGAGGUGCCAGCGUCGGAGAGUGCAGAGGAGCCUUCAACAGACGCAGCGAGCGGCUGAAGGCUCGGCUGCUGCGUAAGCGCGAGCAGUGGCGGGAGCGCCGUCGACGAAGAAGACGAAGAGGUCGUUCAGAACCACGAUGGAGGAUGGAGGAGGAACAGUCGGGGAUUUGAGGCGCAGUGACCCUUCGCUGUCAUGCGCUGGGUCCUCAGGAUCCACAAGACGAAGCGAUCCUUCGUUGUCCUGCGCAGGUUCCACUUCGCUGGACCGGCGCUCGAGACUCAAGGCAGGACGGCCUAGGUCUCUGGACCUGAGCUCAGCAUACAUAGAGAGCAAGACGUCCGUCGUCACCACGAGCUCCAUGGGGUCUGACGACGCCUGCGCCGCGCUGUCCAGCAGACAAUCACUCAUACGGGAUGCCGUGCGAAUAGACGACGUUAUCCCAGAAUCUCAAGAUCCUGAUCAUAAGACCGGUGAUCCUGAACAGGAUGAUGACUUAUUGAGAAUUGGCUCACAAGAUGAAAAUAGUG